GACGAACGCUGGCGGCGUGCUUAACACAUGCAAGUCGAACGGAAAGGCCCUGCUUUUGUGGGGUGCUCGAGUGGCGAACGGGUGAGUAACACGUGAGUAACCUGCCCUUGACUUUGGGAUAACUUCAGGAAACUGGGGCUAAUACCGGAUAGGAGCUCCUGCUGCAUGGUGGGGGGUGGAAAGUUUCGGCGGUUGGGGAUGGACUCGCGGCUUAUCAGCUUGUCGGUGGGGUAGUGGCUUACCAAGGCUUUGACGGGUAGCCGGCCUGGGAGGGUGACCGGCCACAUUGGGACUGGGGUACGGCCCAGACUGCUACGGGAGGCAGCAGUGGGAAAUAUUGCACAAUGGGCGGAAGCCUGAUACAACGACGCCGCGUGCGGGAUGCCGGCCUUCGGGUUGUAAACCGCUUUCGACUGUGACGAAGCGUGAGUGACGGUAAUGGGUAAAGAAGCACCGGCUAACUACGUG
rnacentral:rRNA from 1 species